UACGUAGGGUGCAGGCGUUAAUCGGAAUUACUGGGCGUAAAGCGCGCGUAGGCGGCUUGUUAAGUCAAAUGUGAAAUCCCCGAGCUUAACUUGGGCAUUGCAUUCGAUACUGGCAAGCUAGAGUAUGGGAGAGGAAGGUAGAAUUCCAGGUGUAGCGGUGAAAUGCGUAGAGAUCUGGAGGAAUACCGAUGGCGAAGGCAGCCUUCUGGCCUAAUACUGACGCUGAGGUGCGAAAGCGUGGGGAGCAAACAGG
rnacentral:rRNA from 1 species